AACAUCGCGCACCUGCGGGAACCUGCGGAGGGAUCAUUACCGAGUGAGGGCCCUCCGGGUCCAACCUCCCACCCGUGUUUAACGAACCUUGUUGUUUCGGCGGGCCCGCCUCACGGCCGCCGGGGGGCACCCCGCCCCCGGGCCCGCGCCCGCCGAAGACACCUGUGAACGCUGUCUGAAGUUGCAGUCUGAGACACUAGCUCAAUCAGUUAAAACUUUCAACAACGGAUCUCAGAUCGG
rnacentral:misc_RNA from 1 species